rnacentral:rRNA from 1 species
GAUGAACGCUGGCGGCGUGCCUAAUACAUGCAAGUCGAGCGAACGGACGAGAAGCUUGCUUCUCUGAUGUUAGCGGCGGACGGGUGAGUAACACGUGGAUAACCUACCUAUAAGACUGGGAUAACUUCGGGAAACCGUAGCUAAUACCGGAUAAUAUUUUGAACCGCAUGGUUCAAAGGUGAAAGACGGUCUUGCUGUCACUUAUAGAUGGAUCCGCGCUGCAUUAGCUAGUUGGUAAGGUAACGGCUUGCCAAGGCAACGAUGCAUAGCCGACCUGAGAGGGUGAUCGGCCACACUGGAACUGAGACACGGUCCAGACUCCUACGGGAGGCAGCAGUAGGGAAUCUUCCGCAAUGGGCGAAAGCCUGACGGAGCAACGCCGCGUGAGUGAUGAAGGUCUUCGGAUCGUAAAACUCUGUUAUUAGGGAAGAACAUAUGUGUAAGUAACUGUGCACAUCUUGACGGUACCUAAUCAGAAAGCCACGGCUAACUACGUG